CAUACCUCUGCAUCUUCGGGGCCAAAGGACCAUGGUUUUACAUUCAAAUCUUUUUAAUGCUCUACUGAUGAAAAAAAGUCACCCGCACGUGCACCUUGAAUGGCCCUGAGCUUAGUCCCCAUCUGGGAUUGCCACAGUGGCAUAAACCACUAACUUUUCCAGCAUUUGUUUUAUGCAGCGGAUGCGCUUCCAUCUACAACCCAACCCUGGGAAACAUCCAUACACUCAUUCACACACAUACACUAUGGUCAAUCAAUUUUAGCAUUUCCCUCUUUUUGGGGGAAACCAGAGCACCCGGAGGAAACGCACGCGAACGGGGAGAACAUGCAAACUCCACACAGAAAUGCCAGCUGAGGCUUGAACCAGUGACCUUCUACCACCUUUAAAUCAAAGAAAUAUAAACGUUCUGAUAUAAAUCUGCACUUGUGAUGAACAUUGGUUAAACUCCUCUUUGGCAUCUUAAGUAAAACAGCUCCAUAUGAAGCACAUACAGUAAGGCCCGAGACAGAAAUGAUGCAUCCGAUUUUACAAAAUAAAGACAUUAGGAGUUAUACUAACAUGAACUAAUAAUGAACAAUACUUGUACAGCAUUUAUUAAUCAUAGUUCAACAUUUAUUAUUAAAAUAAUAAUUUAAUAAUCCAAAAUGCUUGUUAAUAUUAGUUAAUACACAGUGAGUUAUCGAGAACUAACAACUCUAUAUUCAUUAACUAACAUUAACAAAGAUGAAUAAAUACUGUAAUAAAGGUAUUGUUCAUUGAUGAUCCAUGUUAGCUAAUAAAUAAACUAAUAUCAAGGAUUUUAAAUUAAAGUGUUACUGAAGUUAGUUGUGCAUAACUCCCACUGCAUCACAGGCUUAUAAAUAAUAAGUUGGACAUUAGUGUGUUGGUGUGGACAAUACUAUUGUUACUAUUCAUGAUUUAAAUAUGAAAAGCCAC
rnacentral:lncRNA from 1 species